rnacentral:rRNA from 1 species
CGGAGGUGCGAGCGUUAUCCGGAAUUACUGGGUUUAAAGGGUGCGUAGGCGGCUGUGUAAGUCAGGAGUGAAAGUUUGCGGCUCAACCGUAAAUUGCUUUUGAUACUGCAUGGCUAGAAUUAGGAUGAGGUCAGCGGAAUGUGGCAUGUAGCGGUGAAAUGCAUAGAUAUGCCAUAGAACACCAAUUGCGAAGGCAGCUGGCUAGACCUGGAUUGACGCUGAGGCACGAAAGCGUGGGAGCGAACAGGAUU